rnacentral:tRNA from 1 species
UAGACUGAAGCCCGCUGGCUAGGGUGUUUAGUUGUUAACUAAGUUGUUACGGGAUCGAGGCCCGUUAGUCUGG